GGAUAUGGUCGAAUGGUAAAAUUUCUCUUUAUUAUGGAGAAGAUGUGGGUUCGAUUCCCACUAAUCCU